AUCCCAAACAAAAAAUCAUCCAAUAACAAAAAAGGUUUUGAAAUGUUAUAUACUGACGGCUCAGUUCAGGAAAAUUUUAUGGGGAGUGCUUUUAUUCAUUCCAAGUCAAAUACUGUCAAAAGUUUUUAUGCUAAUUCUAAGCGUUCUUCGUUGACUGCUGAGCUCGCAGCCCUAGAGAAAGCCAUCGACUUUGCAAAUUUUGAAAAUUUUAGCAAAGUAGCCAUCCUUACUAGGUGCACUGCAAACGCUGAAGAAAAGCUGUGUUUCAAAUAGCAUAGCGUUAGAUAUUCUUAAAAAAAUAGAAAACAGUCAAAGUAUACUGUAUUUUGAAUUACACCACAUACCCAGCCAUCUUAAUAUCAAAGGAAACGAAUUGGCAAAUUCCGCAGCAAAAAAUGCCAGAACUAACGGCUCAUGUGUAUUCCUGAGAUACACUCUAAACGAUGCCAUCACACACUUAUAUAAUCGGAUAAUGAUUGAUUGGGAAAGAGAAUACAAAGCUUUCUGCCUUGAAAAAAACAAAGGAUAUUGCUUAAUAUUUCCCUAUGUUGACACAAAGCCAUGGUUCAAAGACAAAAACUGCAAUUUAAAUCGUCUCGAAGUCAAGCAACUAAACAGAAUUUUUAGCGGUCAUGCUUUCGACAGAUACACGUUACACAUAUUAAAAGUUUUUGACAAUUCCAUUUGUGACUGCAACUAAAAUUCCAUUGAAGACAUCUCUCACAUUUUACUAAAAUGCUCAAAAUAUGAAUCUAUCCGUAGAAAUUUUCCACUCUUACAAUACAACGAUAUAUAUCGAUUCUUUGCUCACGAACCAAUAACUAAUUACACCUCUAUAACACAAUUCAUACGCUCAGCUAAAAUAGAAUUAUAAUUAACACAUCAUCUCAUAACAUCAUAACUCACAUACAACUUCACAUUUAUAAAUAAUAUCACUCACAUAUCGAUAACACCCUCAUCGAAUCUCAUCGCUUAUCUUCAGAAUCACACAACACGACAUUUCAUAUUUAUAUUUAUGAAGAACAAUUUCUAACCAAGAUCAUGAAAUCUUGUUUCACACAUAGGUGGUGGCGUUUACCCGUUUUAUUUCAUACGGGACGGCCAAAUAAAUCUGCCUUAACCUUGGUUGGUCAGGAAGUAACUUAAUACACAAAAAAAAAAAAAUCGGGAACAAAGAUGACGGAAAAGUGGCACUAGAUGUGGCUCCCACAGCGCACCCACCUAUCCUGUGGUGCCCCUAGUGACGCGAGGGAAGCACCACCCAUCCUUAAGGGCCGUAAUCACCGCCAGGCGGUGUACGACCGGUCUAUCUCCCCCAACAGUUAAGGGAUCACAGCACCAGCGCCUCUCAGGUCCGGAAUCUGGCUACAGUCGCCGCGGAAACAAAACUUCGCGCAGGCUAGUUUUUGGUCUACUGCACCAUUUGGACCACCUAAUCCUGGGGAGCUCCGAGGGAUGAGAAAGGACGGAUGCCCCCGACCAAAUUGCUGUACUUGACGAGGGGCGAGAAAGGACGGACGCAGGCAAAUCCGCAUCAAUUGACAAAUUACAAAUUAAAUUUCCUAAAUGACUAAUUGUGUUUUUUUGCAGGUGCCAAGGCGUUGUUGUCGGCGCAGUUUUUUAUGACCCCGGUGGCGGUCGCUGGCGCAGGGACUGAGGCCAAACGUGAAUCGUGGCCCGCCGCUGGACUUUCACCGGCCAGGACAGGCGGCAAAGUGCGCCUCGCUGGACUUCAGCCAGGACCAAAAACUUGCAGGGAGAUAUCUACUGCGGACGGGCACGUGGGCGCGCGAAGCAGAGCCUCGUCACCCACUCGGAUCGGAACGGACCCACUGGCGUGAUCCUGAGGCGUCAGGAUUGCGGACCGGUUCACUGGUCUCUGUCGCUAUGGAGGUAUGUAGCUCCGUUUGGAUGAUCUUCCUCGAUGAGUUGCCGGUCAGGUUAAGGCCGAGGUAUUCGAGAAAAAAAGGUUGUCGUCUCCGCCGAAAAAAUUACAGGGGCCCUUUUGAUGGGUCCCCGGAUAGCCUAAGAACACAGCACUAAAUAAAGCAACUAAUACGAGGACGGAA